rnacentral:sRNA from 1 species
GGGACCGGUGAGGGCGAGGGAAGCGUCUUGGACUGGGCCCAGCGGCGGGUGAGGGCAGAAGGUAUAGACAGACCUAACUGGGGCCCUUCGCCUCCCACCUCUGUGUCUCAUUUUGCUGGUUCUCCUCCAGCUCCGGUGUCGGCGGGUGGCGCGGCGCCCCCGGAGGGGGCCAUAUCUAACGGGGUUUACGUACUGCCGAGCGCGGCCAACGGAGACGUGAAGCCCGUGGUGUCCAGCACGCCUUUGGUGGACUUCUUGAUGCAGCUGGAAGAUUACACGCCUACGGUGGGCUUCCGCCCGAACAAGGCCACCUAGCCUGCUGUCAAAACUUUAAGCCGCAUCGUGCUUUUCAGCGUCCUCUUACAUUUGCUCCCCUAGUCGCUCUUCUGUUUUUGCCCUCUGCUCACCCAAACUGAGCGUCCUGAUAACCAGGCCUAUCCAUUUCCCUCACCCUCCUCCUGCUCUGCUGACAGUUCUCUUAAUUGAUUUCUCAGAUCCCAGAUGCAGUGACUGGUUACUACCUGAACCGUGCUGGCUUUGAGGCCUCAGACCCACGCAUAAUUCGGCUCAUCUCCCUAGCUGCCCAGAAAUUCAUCUCAGAUAUUGCCAAUGAUGCCCUACAGCACUGCAAAAUGAAGGGCACAGCCUCCGGCAGCUCCCGGAGCAAGAGCAAGGACCGCAAGUACACUCUAACCAUGGAGGACUUGACCCCUGCCCUCAGCGAGUAUGGCAUCAAUGUGAAGAAGCCGCACUACUUCACCUGAGCCACCCAACCUAAAUGUACUUGUCUGUCCCCAUGUCCCCACACCAGCCUGUUUUCAUAAUAAACUUUAUUGUGACAGGCGGGGCUGAUCCCUCCCAUGUUGGGAGACACCAUAUGGCAAGUGACAAAGCUCUGAGCCCGCCCCUCUUGGGGCCACAGUGGUAGGGAUGGGGGAAGGGGAUGGACCCCAUGGCUGGGGUAGUACCAUGACUGGAGGCGGGGGAGGCAACCAGAGGCCUGCUGCUUUGGGAAGGUGCAUUCCCCCAACCAUGUCCCGACACCUCUGGAGUUCAGGCAAGGACCUUCCAGUCCUACUUGUCCUGCAUCUUCUCCAAGAUAGGCACAAUCAUGUCAAAUUUGGGUCGCUUUGCAGGGUCUUCAUUCAUGCAGAUCUUCAUGAGCUUACACACAUGAGGGGAAAUACCUGGUGGGAUGGUAGGCCGAAGGCCUUCCAAUGCCACCUGCGAAUACAAGAAAAAAAACAGCCUCACAAUUUGAGUCUGUCAUGUAGAGAGAAGCCACUGGCCCUUGGGACAGGAUUACUGUAUAUCUGAACAAAUAUGGGAGGAGCCAAGGCCCACUACAGUUAUCUUCACCAUCACCAACCACUCCCCGAACACAAAUGUAUGCUGUUCUGCUCUCACCUUCAUUCCAAUCUCCAUAUUGGAGAGGUCAGCAAAGGGUACCUCCCGUGUCACCAGUUCCCACAGAAGCACUGCAAAACUCCACAUGUCUGCUGAGCGUCUGUUUGUGUCUUCAGGCUUCUUCUGCAGAGCUGGAGAGAUAGGGCUUGUCUGUUCUGGCCCACUGGCCUGUCCUGUCUCUGCCCCCCCUUCCACUACUUCUGAGGUGGUCCUUUUUUACCUGCCAACAUGAUGACUUCACUCACCUUCAGGGGCUACCCAGGCAGGUGCAUACAUGCGACCAGGACAUUGGAAAGAGAACUUGACAUCAGCCAUGCUAAUUCGGGCAGUCAUGUCCUCAUCAAUCUGAGGAAGAGAAAACAGAUAGAAGGAGGUAAGUCAUAGGCAAAGGGCUUUUGGGGCCUGAGCCAGGAGUGAGCUUGUGGCCUCACCAUUACACUACGGCUGUUGAGUGCAUGUCGUGGGAUGAGAGGCUCUAAUGUGUGUAGGAAGGCCAUGCCCCUUGCCAUGUCCAAGGCAAACUUCACAGCCUGGCUCUGGUCCACGACGAAAUCUGAGAGGAGGCAAGAGUCAAAUAGUUCAGAGAGGCUCAUGCACCCUCUCUGCCAUUUCAUCCCCAAGGAAAUUCAACAUCCCUACUCACUGGUGCCUUCAUGUAGUACAUUGUAGAGGGAUCCAUAUGGCAUCCAGUGUGUGAUGAGAGUAGGAUGAGGAGCAGGUGGAGACUGGCAGGCACCUAGCACUGGGAGCACAUUUGGAUGCGAGAAAAUCCUAGAAGAGGGAGGGAGUGGUUGAGACCCAGUACAAAAGAUCUCUUUCAGUGCUAUUAAGGGUUCCUUGGAACUAGUAGCUUCCAGGUUACGCCUUGCACUACCUGAGUCGGGGACACUCUUCAUUGAAGUCCCUGCUCUUCCUUGUACUCCAGUCUCGAACCUUCAGCACCUUCACAACAAUGUCAUUGCCCUGCCAGCGGCCCUUCCAUAGCUGCAGGACAGGUAGGGAUUAGGAGGCUUGAACUGUUGCUGCCACUUCCUUGCCUACUAACUGGAGGAAAAACUUAAAACAGGUACAAAGCAAGUAAUUUGUGGGGCUUUAGUGAAGGAAGGGCAAGAAGGGCAGGGGUCACCUCUCCAGAGUGAUUCUCGUUGAGCUUCGUCAGGAAGUUAAGCUGUUUGAAGUCAAUGCCAGAGUGUUUGUUCAGGGUUCCAUUUCCUAAGAGUGUGGGCAGGUCAGGUACCCAGCUUCACCCUAACCCAGCCCCAAGAGGCCAGGAUUAUUUCCUUUUACAACCCUUAUUCCCACAGUGGUGACUCACGGGGCCGAGUGCGGGUGGUCCCCUUCCAGAAUGUGUCCUUGUAUGGAAUACGGUUGAGAUUCUGGCCCAUCUUCUCUGCCCGCUCUAGGGAAGAAAAACAACCUGAACUGUGGUACAGAGGGAGAAGACAGGUGGGACGGGACAAGAGGACACAAGCUAGGGGGUGGGGAGAUGGACCUCGGAGAAGCUCUCUCAGGGGUGCCUUGGCUUUGUCCACAGGCAUCUCUCCAUACUUGUUACAGAUGCUGACAAGGGCCCCAUUUGCCACCAGGUCCUGGAAUGAAAAGGCCAUUAUGAUGAGAGCCACUGCUACCUCUCUGGCAGUCACUGAACCAACCAUGAAUGCACAAAUGUAGUACUUAAUCCGUUGAGUGUCACACAGUAGUACUGACAGAAUGGGUUGAGGGUUCCAAAUCUCCCACCAAGGCUCAGACUUUACUUCCUACCCAUCUCAGGACUUAAGGGCUGAGUACUCACCUCUGCCACUUGAUCUUGGCCCCAAAAACAGGCAUAGUGCAGGGGCACAUUCCCAUGUUCAUUCACUGCAUUGAUGUCUGCCUUGUACUGCAAUAGCUGGACCCCAUGGCCAGACAAAAAGAAGAGGCAAAAAGUACAGUCAGUCCCAAAUGAGAUACUGGUGUCAGGGCAUGGGAAAAGGGGGAAGAGUACCCAUACUUUCUACUGUAUGUUACAGUGCCUGUGACUGACCCUCAUGGCAUGUAUGUGAUGUGGAUGACGAAGGAGUUUGUACGUACCUUCUGUACAAUAUCACGGUGUCCAUGACUGGCUGCCAGAUGCAGGGGGGUGUCAUCCCCACGGUUCAUUACAUUGAUCCGUGCCCCCCGCAUGAUCAACAUCUCAACCACAGCAGAGCGGCCCUCUCGGCAGGCCCAGUGCAAGGGGGAGAAGCCAUGAUCGUCCCUUUGAGGAAGGGGCAAUGGUCAUUGAGCUGGAGGUGGGAUGGGGCAAAGGUUUUGAUUCCUGAAAAACUGACAAUUACAUACUCUCUGGGAAGGCUUACCUCUCUAGGACUUUGAUUCUCAUUCAUGCCAGCAACUCCCAAAGCUGUCCAUUUCAGACCUUCCCCUGAGCUUCAAACCAAACCAACCACCUAGAUAUCUCAACAACCUCUAUAAAAAAAUUUGUUAUCUUCACCAUAUCUCACAUCUCAUUUCCUUAGGUGGUAGUGCUCUUCCCCUGGUUUCUCUUGCACCCCUUCUGCAACAUCUAUUGGUCCUUUCUGUUUUCCACCACAUCUUAUAUAUCCCCCUACUUCAGCACUUGUUGCACUGGAUUGUAAAAAUCUGUUAAUGGACUGUCUUGUCUGUUAGACUUAAGUUUCUUGAGGGAAUGGAUUGACAGCAGCUGUUCAGUGCAUGUUAGUCGGGGAGAAGGGUGUCUUGGAGAAGGCAGGCCACAACUUAUAGAAGAGGGAACAAACUUACUAUUUGGCUCUGGUACUGAAACUAACAUCUAAAAAUGGAAUGGAAUUUAAAUGAUGUUUUGGAAGGGUUUAUGUUGAAAAGGAGAAAUGCUUUUGACUACUGAUGAGGGAGAUAACAAACCACCAUGCAAAGCAGGAUUCCCCUACUUAGCAAUCCUGUGCACAGAAAACAGAAGAAAAUGACAAUGGCUGUUUUGGGAUUAAAACUAUACCUGAUUUUUUUCUUUUCCAAGAAAUAUGUAUUUUAUAAAGUAAAAUAAGUAUACAAACAAAACAAAACUAUUGGUUUGGAGCUGGGCCUGCCUGACAGCCUGGGGCCAUAAAAGGAAAUUCCCUCUAGUUCGGGGCUGCAGAUUCAAGGGGCGGAGCAGGGGGCGGUCCGUGGUCUGGGCCAGCAGCCUCCGGAUGCCUUAGUGUUGUGGUCACUUCCUGUGUGUGACUCUAUGCAAGGCCUGGAGCUGAUCAGGGGUCUGGCCAUCCAGAUGCCCCUACAGCUCAAGGGGUUGGGGGGUGUGGCCCUUAACUUAAUCAUUUUCCUCCACAACUUGCUCGCAUCUGCUAACACAGAAAUAGCCAAAAGCUUUUCCUUGAGGUGGGAUAUCCCCAGGAAGCAUUACGCCCCCUGUUUAUCAGUUGGUCUUGCCUCCAAACCUUCAAUUUGUGCCCAGACUUAUCAGCUUCCAGUACUGCCUGUGGUGCCAGGGCAGGCCAAACUCAGGGGGCAAAAGUAUGGGCACAAGGGUUCUGUUCACUAUCAGGCUGCCUGCCACCUCAGGGCCUGGACUUCUAUCUCAAGGAGACCUGCAAGGAAUUAACCCCCUCUUCAUAUCCAGCAUAUAGCCAACUUAGGCCCCCAUACUUUACCCCUCAAACCAGCACCACAACCUUCCAGUUUCAUUAAUUCCACCCCUUUUCCUUCUGGCAGCAUCUUCCUAGAGUCUUCCUAGACUCAGCUAGAGUCUUCCUAGAUGCUAGGCCCACUGGGCAACUGCCUAAGCCUGUAUUUCCUCACCAACAAAAUAGUAACAGUGCUUACUGUCUUUAUCAGGGUACCCUUUGAGAAUUAUAUGAAAAAUGGAACAAAUGACUUUGCAGAGUAUUAAAGAGAAAUAGUGUGGAACCUAAUGGGAACCACUGAAGUCUAGACUAAGAUGACAGGUGAUCCUGACCUGUCAAACCUAAAAACUAAACUCCACUAAUUUUAAAAAAGAAUUUGAAUUUGC